rnacentral:rRNA from 1 species
UACGUAGGGGGCAAGCGUUGUCCGGAAUCAUUGGGCGUAAAGAGCGUGUAGGCGGCCCGAUAAGUCCGCCGUGAAAGUCCAGGGCUCAACCCUGGAAUGCCGGUGGAAACUGUCGGGCUGGAGUCCGGAAGAGGCGAGUGGAAUUCCACGUGUAGCAGUGAAAUGCGUAGAGAUGUGGAGGAACACCGAUGGCGAAGGCAGCCCCCUGGGACCGAAUACUGACGCUCAUGCACGAAAGCGUGGGGAGCAAACAGGAU